GAACCUGCGGAAGGAUCAUUACCGAGUGAGGGCCCUCUGGGUCCAACCUCCCACCCGUGUUUAUUUACCUUAUUGCUUCGGCGGGCCCGCCUUAACUGGCCGCCGGGGGGUUUACACCCCCGGGCCCGCGCCCGCCGAAGACACCCCGAACUCUGUCUGAAGAAUGCAGUNUGAGAACAAAUAUAAAUUAUUUAAAACUUUCAACAACGGAUCUCUUGGUUCCGGCAUCGAUGAAGAACGCAGCGAAAUGCGAUACGUAAUGUGAAUUGCAAAUUCAGUGAAUCAUCGAGUCUUUGAACGCACAUUGCGCCCCCUGGUAUUCCGGGGGGCAUGCCUGUCCGAGCGUCAUUGCUGCCCUCAAGCCCGGCUUGUGUGCUGGGUCUCGUCCUCCGAUUCUGGAGGACGGGCCCGAAAGGCAGCGGCGGCACCGCGUCCGGUCCUCGAGCGUAUGGGGCUUUGUCACCCGCUCAGUAGGCCCGGCCGGCGCUUGCCGAUCAACCCAAAUUUUUUCCACGUUCGCU
rnacentral:rRNA from 1 species